CCCCUCUCAGGGUCGCACCUGGAGAGUUUCCGGUACUCUGCCAGUCUGGACUACUGGAGGUCAAGCAGAAGCAUACCCAUUCCAUUCCUAGCUUGGGCAGUGGCUAGAGGGUGGAAGGCAAUCUGCUACAAGU